UGAUUAUGGCUCAGGACGAACGCUGGCGGCGCGCCUAACACAUGCAAGUCGAACGAGCGAGAGAGAGCUUGCUUUCUCGAGCGAGUGGCGAACGGGUGAGUAACGCGUGAGGAACCUGCCUCAAAGAGGGGGACAACAGUUGGAAAUGACUGCUAAUACCGCAUAAGCCCACGGCUCGGCAUCGAGCAGAGGGAAAAGGAGCAAUCCGCUUUGAGAUGGCCUCGCGUCCGAUUAGCUAGUUGGUGAGGUAAUGGCCCACCAAGGCGACGAUCGGUAGCCGGACUGAGAGGUUGAACGGCCACAUUGGGACUGAGACACGGCCCAGACUCCUACGGGAGGCAGCAGUGGGGAAUAUUGCACAAUGGGGGAAACCCUGAUGCAGCGACGCCGCGUGGAGGAAGAAGGUCUUCGGAUUGUAAACUCCUGUUGUUGGGGAAGAUAAUGACGGUACCCAACAAGGAAGUGACGGCUAACUACGUGCCAGCAGCCGCGGUAAAACGUAGGUCACAAGCGUUGUCCGGAAUUACUGGGUGUAAAGGGAGCGCAGGCGGGAAGACAAGUUGGAAGUGAAAUCUAUGGGCUCAACCCAUAAACUGCUUUCAAAACUGUUUUUCUUGAGUAGUGCAGAGGUAGGCGGAAUUCCCGGUGUAGCGGUGGAAUGCGUAGAUAUCGGGAGGAACACCAGUGGCGAAGGCGGCCUACUGGGCACCAACUGACGCUGAGGCUCGAAAGUGUGGGUAGCAAACAGGAUUAGAUACCCUGGUAGUCCACACCGUAAACGAUGAUUACUAGGUGUUGGAGGAUUGACCCCUUCAGUGCCGCAGUUA
rnacentral:rRNA from 1 species